rnacentral:misc_RNA from 1 species
UUGGGAUACCUGGACCCAGAAUACUUUCACACAAGUCAAUUGACUGAGAAGAGCGAUGUCUAUAGCUUUGGAGUAGUACUUGUGGAGUUACUAACGGGUAAGAAAGCACUUUCGUUUGAUCGACCUGAGGAGGAGAGAAGUCUAGCGAUGCAUUUUCUUUCUUCAAUGAAAGAGGGUAAAUUGUUUGAAAUUCUUGAGAAGCAUAUUGUGAAUGAGGUAACGAAAGAGCAGGUACUGGAAAUGGCUCAGCUGGCGAAACGGUGCUUGAGUUUGAAAGGGGAGGAAAGGCCUCCUAUGAAGGAAGUAGCAAUGGAACUGGAAGGCCUCCACAGGAUGAAGAUGCAUCCAUGGGUGGCAGUGAAUACAGAGGAAACAGAGUACUUGCUGGCCAGAGAGGAAUCCAGUGCUUUUGGUGAUGGGGACGGAUACACUGCAUCGAGUUCUGGGAUUGAUAGCAUGAAGGACCAUUUAACUGUAUCAAUUGGUGGUGGCAGAUGAAUUUAAUUGUACGUGGAAAUAUCAAACCGAGACAAUUGCUUGAUUAAUCGUAGUUUAUUUAUUUUUAUCAGAGAAUCGUAGUUUAUUUAACUGAUAUUAAACAUAUAAAUUAAUAUUAUAAUAGCUCAUGUAUAUGUAUGGAUCCAAUAGAAAAAAAAAAAA